rnacentral:lncRNA from 1 species
GAUCACCUGAGGUCAGGUGUUUGAGAUCAGCCUGGCCAACAUGGUAAAACCCUGUCUCUACUAAAAAUACAAAAAUUAGCUGGGCAUGGUGGCAGGCGCCUGUGAUCCCAGCUAGCUACUAGGGAGGCUGAGGCAGGAGAAUCGCUUGAACCUGGGAGGCGGAGGAUGCAGUGAGCCGAGAUCACGCCAUCGCACUCCAGCCUGGGCAACAA